GAAACCGUUCAGGGGUAAACCUGAGAAACCCAAAAGAUCGAAUGGGGAGAUUCAUCGUCGACGGCGUCGGCUCCCGCGUACGCGCGAUGUCCCGGACGUCGAUCGGUGUCAAAGCCGGUCGCGUCGCGAGGACACGCCGUACGCGGCUCGAACGUUCCGGCGUCGUAGUCGUGCACUUCUCCCCUAGUAGAACGUCGCGACCCGUUGUGUGUCGGUCUACGGCCCGAGUGGGCGCCUGUCGCGUCGCGUCUCGRCGCACGCGGCAGACCCUCGGUCGCCCGGCCGGCUGCACGACGGUACUCGCACGGUAUCGGGCCGCAACCAAUCCAUUCUCGAAUGUGUGUGCGUCGGGCCCGCCGCAAGCUCGGUCCAGUCGAACGUAACGUUAAUCCCGGAGGUAACGGACCUGGCGCCGUCCCCGGGUCUGGCCAGCUGUUGGCAGGCGGUGUCCUCGGACUGGCCAAGCCACGAACUACCGGUCGGCGACGCUACAGCUUUGGGUACUCUCAGGACCCGUCUUGAAACACGGACCAAGGAGUCUAACAUGUGCGCGAGUCAUUGGGAUGCACAAACCUAAAGGCGAAAUGAAAGUGAAGAUCGUCCUUAACCGGUCGAUCAAGGGAGGAUGGGCCGCGUCACGAUGCGGCUCCGCACUCCCGGGGCGUCUCGUUCUCAUCGCGAGAAGAGGCGCACCUAGAGCGUACACGUUGGGACCCGAAAGAUGGUGAACUAUGCCUGGUCAGGACGAAGUCAGGGGAAACCCUGAUGGAGGUCCGUAGCGAUUCUGACGUGCAAAUCGAUCGUCGGAACUGGGUAUAGGGGCGAAAGACUAAUCGAACCAUCUAGUAGCUGGUUCCCUCCGAAGUUUCCCUCAGGAUAGCUGGCACUCGCCUUUCGAACGCAUUGCGAGUCUCAUCUGGUAAAGCGAAUGAUUAGAGGCCUUGGGGCCGAAACGACCUCAACCUAUUCUCAAACUUUAAAUGGGUGAGAUCUCUGGCUUGCUUGAACGAUUUUUUUAUGAAGCCACGAGAUUUUGGAUCAGAGUGCCAAGUGGGCCAAUUUUGGUAAGCAGAACUGGCGCUGUGGGAUGAACCAAACGCGGAGUUAAGGCGCCUAAGUCGACGCUUAUGGGAUACCAUGAAAGGCGUUGGUUGCUUAAGACAGCAGGACGGUGGCCAUGGAAGUCGGAA
rnacentral:rRNA from 1 species